rnacentral:rRNA from 1 species
UAAUACGGAGGUGGCAAGCGUUACUCGGAUUUACUGGGUGUAAAGGGUAGGUAGGUGUCCUGAUAAGUUGGAUGUGAAAUCUCUCAGCUUAACUGAGAAAUUGCAUUCAAAACUGUCAGGAUAGAGACUGAGAGAAGAGAGUAGAAUUCUCGGUGUAAGGGUGAAAUCUGUAGAUAUCGAGAGGAAUACCAAUGGCGAAAGCGUCUCUCUAGAUCAGAUCUGACACUGAGCUACGAAAGCUAAGGGAGCAAACAGGAUUAGAUACCCUGGUAGUCUUAGCUGUAAACGAUGGGCACUAGGUGUUGGCCCGUAAGGGUCGGUGCCGUAAGAUAACUCGUUAAGUGCCCCACCUGGGGACUACGGCCGCAAGGUUA